rnacentral:miRNA from 1 species
ACUCUGAGAAUUCUUUAAUCCCUCCCACCCAGGGAACAGGAAUAAGCUAACAGCCUCCACUGUAACCUGCGGAAUGUGGGAGGGGCAUGUGAAAUGUGGGAGG